rnacentral:rRNA from 1 species
GACGAACGCUGGCGGCGUGGAUAAGACAUGCAAGUCGAACGAGACUUUCUUUGGUAGCAAUACCGAAGGAAGUUUAGUGGCGAACGGGUGCGUAACACGUGGGCAAUCUGCCUUAAAGUGGGGGAUAGCUCGGCGAAAGCCGGAUUAAUACCGCAUGUGAUGAGGGGAGACAUCUUUCCAAAAUCAAAGUUGGUGCAAGCUAACGCUUUUUUGAGGAGCCCGCGGCCUAUCAGCUAGNGGUGGGGUAACGGCCUACCAAGGCUUUGACGGGUAGCUGGUCUGAGAGGACGACCAGUCACACUGGAACUGAGACACGGUCCAGACACCUACGGGUGGCAGCAGUCGAGAAUUUUCUCAAUGGGGGCAACCCUGAAGGAGCGACGCCGCGUGGAGGAUGAAGGCUUUCGGGUUGUAAACUCCU